ensembl:lncRNA
AGAUUAGCACACUGCAGACUAAAUCAGACAGAUUAGCACACUGCUAAUCAAAAUACUACAGACUAAAUCAGACAGAUUAGCACACUGCAGACUAAAUCAGACAGAUUAGCACACUGCUAAUCAAAACACUACAGACUAAAUCAGACAGAUUAGCACACUGCUAACCAAAAGACCAGAGACUAAAUCAGACAGAUUAGCACACUGCAGACUAAAUCAGACAGAUUAGCACACUGCUAACCAAAACACUAGAGACUAAAUCAGACAGAUUAGCACACUGCUAUCCAAAACACUAGAGACUAAAUCAGACAGAUUAGCACACUGCAGACUAAAUCAGACAGAUUAGCACACUGCUAUCCAAAACACUAGAGACUAAAUCAGACAGAUUAGCACACUGCUAACCAAAACACUACAGACUAAAUCAGACAGAUUAGCACACUGCAGACUAAAUCAGACAGAUUAGCACACUGCUAACCAAAACACUACAGACUAAAUCAGACAGAUUAGCACACUGCUAACCAAAUCACUAGAUACUAAAUCAGACAGAUUAGCACACUGCAGACUAAAUCAAACAGAUUAGCACACUGCAGACUAAAUCAGACAGAUUGGCAUACUGUAGACUAAAUCAGACAGAUUAGCACACUGCUAACCAAAACACUAGAGACUAAAUGAGACAGAUUUGCACACUGCUAACCAAAUCACUACAGACUAAAUCAGACAGAUUAGCAUACUGCUAACCAAAUCACUAGAGACUCAAAAAAACAAUUAGAGGAUAAAUGAGGCAAAUUUGCCCUCGUCUAAACUAAACACGGUACACAAAACCAGACAGAUUAGCGCAAUGCUAAUCAAAACACGAGUGACUUAAUCAUACAGAAUUCAAAAAAGAGCUCUGGACAGACGGAUAGACAGCAGAUAGACAGUGUCACUCACUGGUCUCCUUUAUAGCGCGCUAUACAGAACAGCUUGGGGGGGGGGCGGACAAACUCUCAGCCAACUUCGUCUACAAUUGUAAUCAGCUUGUUAUCGUUGUUGUAGCUCUUACUACUGAUUACUUACGUUAAUAUAUAUGUUAGUAUAUGGUGUGUUUGCGUCUAAUCAUUUUGAACAAAUCCACUAGCUAGCCUACGAUCCUGCUUCAAGUACCAUAGCAGAUUAAAGCGAACAAAUGCAUAUGACAUAUAAUCGGGGUUGUAUUCGGUUACAGUUACAAAUGACUUCAUAAACAAUGUCAUCAGUAACGGAAUCCAAGUAUCACAAUAUGGAAGUCAUGUAAUCUGAUUACUUUCGGAUUACUUCAAGGCCACAUACGUAAAUAAAGUCAUGAGAACAGCUUAAGCAUCGUAAUAGCGUUCAAAACAGCGUUACUAUGAAUGCAGACUUUAAUAC